CUUGAAGAGCUCUGGGCUGUUAAUACUGUGAUGAGCUGGCUAUUAUUCAUGCAGAUGUAGAACACUCACUAGAAAUAAAUCUCAAGAUUGAAUUCAGCUUAGAGCCUGAUGUGUUCUCAUGAAAACGAGAAUAUUCAUUUCUCAAGUACCCUGCCUGGGACUUAAAGAAUGCUUUGAAAUCAGUGAUGUUACUUCAACAGAAGACCUUGCACAUCUGUUUCUGGGUCUCUCUUUGGAAGCACUGGAAAGGAAAAGCUUGAAAGAAAGCACUCUUUCACAGGCCCUUGUUCCAUCGUGCCGUGCUGUUUGCACACAGACUGCUGGUGGCUGCGCAACACAGGAGUGUGGGGCUGGGAAAGGAUCGGGAGUGCUGAGUGUGCAGUCUGCACCCAGCAUCACACCACAGCUUCCCCCAGACGGCACACUGCUGCGCGUGGAGCAGAAAUCUGCCUCUGUUUCCUAUUUUAUAGAAACUGAAAUGACCGCAGUGGAUCUGUCCCUAGCUGCUAUCCAGCAGGCCCUGCUUUAAUUUUAGAAUAUGUUUGGGACUUUCCCUUCUGAGGGUCUUCAGACCUGAUUUUCUGGGUGAGUAUUAGUAAUAAUGGUCCAAAAAAAGCCAAAAAGAAAUAUAUGAAACAUUCUAUUAAGUUUGAAAUGAAAUUCUGAAUAAGAUGUGUGUGUUCUUCACAGAAUAUUUACUUUGUAAUACAACCAUUGAUAAUAAAAAAAAAAAACUGCAGUAGUUUUCAGUAUACUUAGAUUGUCUGUUUUCUUCCUUUAUUUUCCUAAUUUUUGCAAUAUUUUUCCUAGUUUCAAAGGAAAGGGUUGAAACUGUAGAGCUCUGGGAGUUGUCCCAUUUGCCACAUGUUGUGUAUGUGUGCAUUUUAUAUAUAUAUAUAUAGACAUUGGGGCUUAGCCUAGGUAGUGACAAGAAUGCAUCCAGUGCUGGUAGACUUGAGAAACAAUAAAAUAAUGUCCUACUCCAUAAAUCCACCACUCCAGACUUCGAAUCACCCGUCUUGGCCAGAAAUCACUGUGGGAAAAGAAGAGGGAGAUGGGGGAGGAUGGAAGAUGAUAUUCAUCCAUCUGUGCUCUCCUUUAGCAUACUCGACCUUCCCACAGCUUUGGAGUGUGCUCUGAGAGGCCAAAAGUCUUCUGGCCUGAAUUCUCCUCCUCUUAAUUUUAACCUGCCAAAUAAUCUAAACUAGAAAUAUGCUUGCCUUAGGCUUUCUAUGGAGUCAAUGGAGAGAGAAAAGCAUCUCCAGAAGAUGACUCAGAUAUUCCACAGGCUCUGGUACUUGGCAAGGCCAGAUGUGCUCCUCCCAGCUGGACAGCAGCAGGGAGCCAGGGAAGCCCCAGAAGCCCCAGCUGUGAGUGACAGCACAUCAGGGAGCUCCUAGACAGGUGCGAGGGGCUCUCCUGCAUGCAUUGCAGUCACGAUCACAGGCUACACAGAAACACACCAAAAGGAAAGCAUCGGAAAGAAGCACUCCUAUCAGCCCUUGUACAAGAGAGCCAUUUUCUCUCUGCCUUUACCUUUGCCUCAAAGAGUGACUUGGAACUAAGUGCUGCUGCUCAUGUGUAAACAGAAAUGGGAAACAUGCAUCCUCAACUGAAAGUGAAAUGUGCUCUUCAUUGUAUUUUCUAAUUUCUUCCUCUAAGCAAGGAAGAAUUUCUUAUUUUUAUCCCACUUGAUCCUGACUGCAGCAUUCAGCUGCUGUGUUGCUAUCAACAGCACAGUCCUGAGGCCCCAAUUUCACUCAUUUGACACACACAAGGGCUAUGCUUCAGGCCAGCACAAAUUAGUCCCAACAAAAGCAGUUAUGCACUACCAUUCUUUUCUCAUCCCCCUCUGUGCUAUCCCUUCCCUCAGGCAAUGUUGGGUGUUUACCCACUCUGUGUUUAACUGCACCUCACGAAGGGCCAAUCAGUUCUUAUUUCCUACUCUUGCUUUAGCCUGAAUGCAUUCCCCUGUGCGGUUCACUGCUCAGCAUACAGAUCUAUAGCUAGCACAGCCUAUAACUAGUGUAAUUUAUGAAAUGCUGAUAUUCUGUUGAGCUAGAGCCAUCUACACUAAAAUUUAUAGAUUUUAUUCUAAUGUAGUUUUGCAUCUUGCUAGAAAACAUCUUGGAGACAGUUGGAUCAAGUAUCAUAGAACCACAGAAUGACUUGGGUUGGAAGGGACCUAAAAGCCCACCCAGUUCCACCCCCCUGCCUUAGGCAGGGCUGCCACCCACCAGCUUAGGCUGCCCAGCGCCCCAUCCAACCUGGCCUUGAAUGCCUCCAGGGAUGGGGCAUCCACAGCCUCUCUGGGCAGCCUGUGCCUCAGUGCCUCACGGCCCUCUGACUAGAGAAUUUCCACCUAAUAUUUAACCUAAAUUUCCUCUCUUUUAGUUUGAAGCCAUUCCCCUUUGUCCUAUUGCUAUCAGGUCGUAUAGAAAGUUGGUCUCCCAGAAAAACACCAUUUUAUCCUCUAUGCAGUAACAACAUUCCUGAUGAGAAUUUAACAGCAUCUGACUUUGCUGAAAUACUGUUAUAAACUAAAUCAGCUCAGUUUCGUUAAAUCCUUAUUAGGACAUUAAACCACCCAGCGUUUAACUCACACUCUGAUUCUGAACUGAAACUCUCACAGAAAAGAUUUCCUAAUGACGUGUUACCAUUUACUUCAAAAUGGCAGAAUGUCCAUACUACUUCAGUUUUUUGUAAACUCAUCAUUAGCAUCUAGAUGUGAGUGCAACUAUCACUGUGUUUUGUAGAGGCAGAUUUCAAAACUUUUACACGUAGGAGUUAAAACUUUAAGUAAGAAUUGGUCAUUUAAGUUCUGCAAUGACUGACUGAUCUAGAUAGCAUUACUGCCACUGAUCCUAUUAUGGAUUUUAAGAUGUGAAUGCCAUGCCGAUCAGAAUUAUGCAACUUAACCCUUGUAAUACAUCCUCUAUAUAUAAUUCUUCUGCCAAAGAUUUGUGGUCCACUACGUGGCACAAGCACUGCUGACCAUCUGUUCCAUUAGAGAUGUCACAGACACAAGUGCAACCGUUUCAAGGAACGGUAAAUAAGCACCCUGGACAGAACGUACACUGGUCCUUUGUUCAGCAGUAGCAUAAGAGACAUACUUCAGAUCUGCUUAGUAAACGUAUUUUCCAAUACAGACUGGACUGCUGCCUCAUCGUAAGUACUCCUGUUAACCACAAAUUUUUAAGGAUAAGAGCUGAUGAACUUGACAUUUCUCAUUUAAAAGUGUCUCUAGAACCAGGGCCAGAGAAUAUUUGCAGGUCCAAGGCCCACAGCUGUCAAAAUGUCAAAGCUGAGCAAUGGCUUUGAGGUAUAAAUUAGUUCUUGUAAGGUGCAACUAAAGAUCUUUUCUUGAGCAUACAGGGCUCGAUUUCCAUUCAUAACUUCUAAACAGUCAAGUCUGUAACAACCAACUGCAGUCACAGAAUGUAUGUCUACCUGUUUGACUUUGUGUGACCCUUGAAGGAAGAGAAGCCUCAGAGCAUGUGGCACUUACAACAUGAAGUGGCAGUUUGUCUGAGGUUUCUGGAUUGUGUCACCUGUGCCUGGUCUGCUUCUGCCCUGUUUGCAUGGGCGGGGCUCAGACAUACUUUUCAAAUGAGCCACUGACAAUGAAACACCUGAUUUUCUGCUUCAAAACACAAAACGAGUAGGCUCUGAAACCGACUGCUGCCCAGCAAAACUCCACUCCACAUCGGUGUUCUUUUAUCUUCCCAAUUUCAGCAGAGACAAAGAGGAUUUCUGAUUCAAGACAUAAACCAACAGGUUUUCUGUCUUCU
ensembl:lncRNA